rnacentral:rRNA from 1 species
UACGAAGGGUGCUAGCGUUGUUCGGAAUUACUGGGCGUAAAGCGCGCGCAGGCGGUCUUCCAAGUCAGUGGUGAAAUCCCGGAGCUCAACUCCGGAACUGCCAUUGAAACUGUUAGACUUGAGGAUGAGAGAGGUGAGUGGAAUUCCCAGUGUAGAGGUGAAAUUCGUAGAUAUUGGGAAGAACACCGGUGGCGAAGGCGGCUCACUGGCUCAUUACUGACGCUCAGGCGCGAUAGCGUGGGGAUCAAACAGG